GCCAGUGUGGCAUAGUGGUUUGUAUGUUGGACUAUGACUCUGAAUAGGAAGGUUCAAAUCCCUGAUUGGCC